UGGGGAAUCUUGCACAAUGGGGGCAACCCUGAUGCAGCGACGCCGCGUGAGCGAUGAAGCCCUUCGGGGCGUAAAGCUCUUUCGACCGGAACGAUAAUGACGGUACCGGGAGAAGAAGCUGCGGCUAACUACGUGCCAGCAGCCGCGGUAAUACGUAGGGAGCAAGCGUUGUUCGGAUUUACUGGGCGUAAAGGGCGCGUAGGCGGCGCGGUAAGUCACUUGUGAAAUCUCUGAGCUUAACUCAGAACGGCCAAGUGAUACUGCUGUGCUAGAGUGCGGAAGAGGCAACCGGAAUUCUUGGUGUAGCGGUGAAAUGCGUAGAUAUCAAGAGGAACACCUGAGGCGAAGGCGGGUUGCUGGGCCGACACUGACGCUGAUGCGCGAAAGCCAGGGGAGCAAACG
rnacentral:rRNA from 1 species